rnacentral:rRNA from 1 species
UACGGAGGGUGCGAGCGUUGUCCGGAAUCACUGGGCGUAAAGGGCGCGUAGGUGGCUCGGCAAGCGUGCGGUGAAAGUUCGAGGCUCAACCUCGAAUCUGCCGUGCGAACUGCCAGGCUUGAGCACUGUAGAGGCAGAUGGAAUUCCGGGUGUAGCGGUGGAAUGCGUAGAGAUCCGGAAGAACACCGGUGGCGAAGGCGGUCUGCUGGGCAGUUGCUGACACUGAGGCGCGACAGCGUGGGGAGCAAACAGG